CUCGUACUGAGCUCGGAUGUCCCGCAGCGCCGCCGUCAGGUCCGGCUUGGACAUGUCCAUCUGGAUCUGGACUUGGGUCUCCUGCAUCUGGGCCUGCAGCUCCCGGAUCUCCUGCAGGAAAAAGGACAAGGAAUGUGAUCUCCUCCUGCAGGGUCUCGAUGCGUCGCUCCAGGUCCAGACGGGCCAGGGUGGCAGCGUCCACGUCCUGCAUCCAAACACACAUUCACCCUUCUACCGUAAGUCCCCCCCAAAAAUAUUGAUAACUUCCAAAAUAAUGAAACAAUCUAAAUGCUCCUUCAAGGUGUGAAAUGAUCACUUAUUUACCUCCAUCUGACACAAAACCCCAUUUCAUUUGGUUCAGAUUAACUUUGGCCUGCAUUAUCUGGUCCAGGACUCACCGCUCUGAACGCUGCCAGGUUAUUCUCCGUCUCCUCUUUCUGAAGGAUCUCCUCCUGGAGUCUG